rnacentral:rRNA from 1 species
CCUACGGGAGGCAGCAGUGGGGGAUAUUGCACAAUGGGGGAAACCCUGAUGCAGCGACGCCGCGUGGGUGAAGAAGCGCCUCGGCGCGUAAAGCCCUGUCAGCCGGGAAGAAAAUUCCGGUACCUGAAGCAGAAGCCCCGGCUAACUACGUGCCAGCACCCGCGGUAAUACGCAGGGGGCAAGGGUUAUCCGGAUUUCCUGGGUGUAAUGGGGGCUCAUUCGGCGAUGCAAGCCAGGAGUGAAAGCCCGGGGCCCAACCCCGGGACAGCUCUUGGAACUGCGUGGCUAGAGUGCAGGAGGGGCAGGCGGAAUUCCUGGUGUAGCGGUGAAAUGCGUAGAUAUCAGGAGGAACACCGGUGGCGAAGGCGGCAUGCUGGACUGCAACUGACGUUGAGGCCCGAAAGCGUGGGGAGCAAACAGGAUUAGAUACCCCGGUAGUC